rnacentral:rRNA from 1 species
GGAUAACCUGCCCUACACUGGGGGAUAAUCUUGGGAAACUGAGGAUAAUACCCCAUAGACCACUACGCCUGGAACGGUGACCGGUUGAAAGCUCCGGCGGUGUAGGAUGGGUCUGCGGCGUAUCAGGUCGUAGGGGGUGUAAUGGACCUCCUAGCCAUCGACGCGUACGGGUUGUGGGAGCAAUAGCCCGGAGACGGAUUCUGAGACACGAAUCCGGACCCUACGGGGUGCAGCAGGCGCGAAAACUUCACACUGCAGGAAACUGUGAUGAGGGAACUCCAAGUGACUGCACAAUGUGUAGCCUUUUCUUGAAUCUUAAUAGUUCUUGGAAUAAGGGCUGGGAAAGACCGGUGCCAGCCGCCGCGGUAAUACCGGCAGCUCAAGUGGUCGUCGCUUUUAUUGGGCCUAAAACGUCCGUAGCCUGUUUGGUAAAUCUGUGGGUAAAUCAACGAGCUUAACCCGUUGAAUUCUGCGGAGACUGCCAGACUAGGGACCGGGAGAGGUAUGAGGUACUCUGGGGGUAGGGGUAAAAUCCUGUCAUCCUCAGAGGACCACCUGUUGCGAAGGCGUCAUACUGGAACGGAUCCGACGGUCAGGGACGAAGCCUAGGGGCACGAACCGGAUUAGAUACCCGGGUAGUCCUAGGUGUAAACGCUGUGGAUUUGGUGUGUGGGGUCCGCAAUGGGCCCCAUGUGCCGGAGUGAAGAUGUUAAAUCCACUGCCUGGGGAGUACGGUCGCAAGGCUGAAACUU